CAUGCAGUCGAGCGAAUGGAUUAAGAGCUUGCUCUUAUGAAGUUAGCGGCGGACGGGUGAGUAACACGUGGGUAACCUGCCCAUAAGACUGGGAUAACUCCGGGAAACCGGGGCUAAUACCGGAUAACAUUUUGAACCGCAUGGUUCGAAAUUGAAAGGCGGCUUCGGCUGUCACUUAUGGAUGGACCCGCGUCGCAUUAGCUAGUUGGUGAGGUAACGGCUCACCAAGGCAACGAUGCGUAGCCGACCUGAGAGGGUGAUCGGCCACACUGGGACUGAGACACGGCCCAGACUCCUACGGGAGGCAGCAGUAGGGAAUCUUCCGCAAUGGACGAAAGUCUGACGGAGCAACGCCGCGUGAGUGAUGAAGGCUUUCGGGUCGUAAAACUCUGUUGUUAGGGAAGAACAAGUGCUAGUUGAAUAAGCUGGCACCUUGACGGUACCUAACCAGAAAGCCACGGCUAACUACGUGCCAGCAGCCGCGGUAAUACGUAGGUGGCAAGCGUUAUCCGGAAUUAUUGGGCGUAAAGCGCGCGCAGGUGGUUUCUUAAGUCUGAUGUGAAAGCCCACGGCUCAACCGUGGAGGGUCAUUGGAAACUGGGAGACUUGAGUGCAGAAGAGGAAAGUGGAAUUCCAUGUGUAGCGGUGAAAUGCGUAGAGAUAUGGAGGAACACCAGUGGCGAAGGCGACUUUCUGGUCUGUAACUGACACUGAGGCGCGAAAGCGUGGGGAAGCAAACAGGAUUAGAUACCCUGGUAGUCCACGCCGUAAACGAUGAGUGCUAAGUGUUAGAGGGUUUCCGCCCUUUAGUGCUGAAGUUAACGCAUUAAGCACUCCGCCUGGG
rnacentral:rRNA from 1 species